GGAGAGUUGUCCGAGUUGGUCGAAGGAGCACGAUUGGAAAUCGUGUAAACGUCAAAAGCGUUUCGAGGGUUCGAAUCCCUUGCUCUCCGCCA
rnacentral:tRNA from 1 species